UAGAUAUUAAGUCUCAGAUUCUUAGGUUAAGUCUUUAUGUCAAUGUUUGAAAUCUUAGAUCCAGUCCUUAUAUUAAUGUCUUCAGUCUCAAUGUUAUGUGAAGUCUUUAUAGUAAUAGAUUAAAUCUCAGAUUCUUAGAAUGUUUGAAAUCUUAAAUCCUUAGAUCAAAUCCUUAUAGUAAUAUAUUCAGUUUCAAAUUGUUUUAUGAAGUCUUUCAUAAAUAAUAUAUUAGCGUAAGUCUCAGAUUCUUAGAUUAAAUCCAGUUUUAGGUUUUUGAUUACGUCUUUAUAUCAAUAUAUAAAGCCUUGGAUUUCAUAUCAUAUUGUCACCCAUUUUAGAUUAAUUCCUUAUAUCAAUAUGUUAAGUCCUAGAAGUUUACGUUAAAUCCUUCUAUCAGUAUAUUCAGACUCAGAUUCUUUGAUUACUUAGUACUUAGGUGAUCCCUCGUUGUUUGAGUAUGAUGGCCUUCCAAGUGUAGUGUCUUGGCAACAGCAAUACGUAGAUGACUGUAGCGCCCUAUUCUUGACCCGCAUGUUUUUCCGCAGUGAGGACAUUGGUUUCCAGGUCAGGUUUGGCUUGACAUGCCUUCCUCUUGGCAUGUCUAUCUCUUUUGCCCUCCAUUUGUGCCUCUUCAGAUUCCACAGCACUGCUGAUCACAGCUGACCUCCAAACAGAGUGCUCAAGGGCCAGGGCUUUCCAGUUCUCAGUGUCUAUGCCACAGUUUUAAAGGUUAGCCUUAAGGCCACCUUUCAAUCUCUUUUCCUGUCCACCAACAUUUCGUUUUCCGUUUUUGAGUUGGUAGUAUAGUAACUGCUUUGUAAGAGGAUCUUUGGGCAUUCAAACAAUGUGGCCAUUCCAGCGGAGUUGAUGGCAUAGGAGCAUUGCUUCAAUGCUAGUGGGCUUUGCUUCUUCCAGCACACUGAUAUUUGUCUGCCUGUCUUCCCAAAAGAAUUGCAAGAUUUAAAUUUUUUGAUUAAGUCCUUAUAUCAAUAUUUUAAGUCUCAGAUUUUUAAAUCAGGUCUUUGCAAUAAAAUAUUGAAUCCCAGAUUCUUAGAUGAAGUCUUUAUGUAAAAAUAUUAAAUCCUAGUUUUUAGAUUAAGACUAUAUAUUACUAGAUUAGGUUUUAGGUUCAUUAUAUUAAAUCUUACACUUUUAGAUUAAGUCCUUAUAUUAAUAGAUCAAGCCUCAGAUUUUAAAGGUUAAAGGAAUCCUUAUAUCCUGCCUGUCACUUUGCUUUUCAGGAAAAAAAAAAAGGUCAGGAAUAGUAGCUCGCCUUUAAUGCUUUAAAUGAAAUAGCUCCAUAUAGAAAGUGAGAGUUGCAUUUCCGUCCCUUUCUAUACAAAUAUGUAAUGUAGACGUCUCAGAAAACCUGGAAUGGUCUUUGAAGUUUAGUCCAUGGGCUUUUGGAAUCGGCUUCAACUAAAAAUCUUUCAGUUGUCUUAACAAUUCCUAAGAGGAUCUGAUGAAGUGUUCAUUCAUCAGGUAUCAAAACAGUGCACUGUAUAUUCAGGGUCUUCAUUUGUAGACUUUCGCAUCCUUCAUAUUUUAGUCAUUUUGAGUUAAAUCCAGUUGAGACUCCUCUAACAAUGUUGAGAAAAAACUAGACUACAAGGUUUCAGACUCUAUGAUUGCCAUCUUGUUUGAACACAAAACUCACCAAUCCAAGACGUCUUGCUUUGCUCCACAUGUGUGAAUGUUUCCUUGAGAUUACCAUAGAUAGAUGUUUUGGCGCCCUGUGAUUUCCUUGUUGCAACCUGCUAUGGAGAGCGUCCGUUGGGCCUUUGCCUAUUCUGCCUGGGUCCCCUGCCGUGAGGAUUGGCUGCUGGCUAUGCGCCUCAUCCAGCCAGAAGAGAAGGAGCGCAUUGCACAGUUUGUUUUUGGCCGUGAUGCCAAGGCUGCUACGGCUGGCCGUCUACUGAUAAGGAAGUUAAUCGCAGAGAAAUUGAAUGUUCCAUGGAACAAAAUACAAUUGCAAAGAACUUCAAAAGGCAAACCUGUCCUCGCCAAUGACAUAAACAGCGCCGAGUCCAAUUUCAGCUUCAAUGUUUCUCACCAAGGGGAUUAUGCCGUUCUUGCAGCUGAACCUGACUGUCAGGUUGGCAUUGAUGUCAUGAAGACCAGCUUGCCAGGAAGUGGUUCAAUUCCUGAAUUCUUUCGUAUUAUGAACCGACAGUUUACAGAGGAGGAGUGGAGAACAAUCAAAUCCAUGAAUAACGAAUGGCUUCAGUUGGACCUGUUUCAUAGGCACUGGGCAUUAAAAGAGAGCUUUAUAAAGGCCAUUGGCAUUGGAAUAGGUUUCAACCUUCAAAGGAUUGAAUUUCAUGUAUCCCCAAUAAAGUUGGAAGUGGGGAAAACCUCUGCUGAGACAGUUAUGCUCUUGGAUGGUGAAGAAGAAAAGGAGUGGACCUUUGAGGAAACCCGGUUAGAUGAUUAUCACCAUGUUGCAGUUGCUCUAGGAAAGCCAAGAGGGUUUGGCAAGAAGCAUAGUGAGAAAGAGUAGAGGAGACCAUCAAAAUAAGAAUCGGUCUGAAUGAGGAUGAAAAUGGCUCUUCCCCUUAUUGGUGUCUCGGAACCUUAGAGACUUCAUCAAACGUGCUUUCUACUGAUGUGACCCAGCCUGCAUUUACAGGACUGACUUUUGAAGAUUUAGUGGUCUCUGCUGUUCCUCUCACACCUGAAGACCCUACCUGCUGGGAUCACUUUUGUUCUAGGCAGGAAUCACCAGCACGAC